rnacentral:rRNA from 1 species
AUGCGUUGUUGGGUAGGGGAGCGUUCUGUAAGCCUGCGAAGGUGACCUGUGAGGGUUGCUGGAGGUAUCAGAAGUGCGAAUGCUGACAUAAGUAACGAUAAAGCGGGUGAAAAGCCCGCUCGCCGGAAGACCAAGGGUUCCUGUCCAACGUUAAUCGGGGCAGGGUGAGUCGACCCCUAAGGCGAGGCCGAAAGGCGUAGUCGAUGGGAAACGGGUUAAUAUUCCCGUACUUGGUGUUACUGCGAAGGGGGGACGGAGAAGGCUAUGUUGGCCGGGCGACGGUUGUCCCGGUUUAAGCGUGUAGGUGUGUGUUCCAGGUAAAUCCGGUUCACUUUAACACUGAGGCGUGAUGACGAGGCACUACGGUGCUGAAGCAACAAAUGCCCUGCUUCCAGGAAAAGCCUCUAAGCAUCAGGUAACAUCAAAUCGUACCCCAAACCGACACAGGUGGUCAGGUAGAGAAUACCAAGGCGCUUGAGAGAACUCGGGUGAAGGAACUAGGCAAAAUGGUGCCGUAACUUCGGGAGAAGGCACGCUGACACGUAGGUGAAGUGAUUUACUCA